rnacentral:lncRNA from 1 species
AUGGGAGACCAGGAGAAGCACCUGGCUCCUGCCUUCGGAUCAGCACGGUGCGCUGGCCAUUGGAGGGUGAACCAACGGCAAAGGAAGACCUUUCUCUCUGUCUCUCUCUCUCACUGUCCACUCUGCCUGUCAAAAAAAAAACAAAAACAAAAACACACACACACACACAACACGGAAGGCCGCGUAGGCAGGAGGGAAACCUGGGGGUGCACACUGGCCGAGGACGCGCACCUGCAGCUUGCAGGGGGUGAUGGCACAGGCUCGAGCAGGGGCCGGCAGCCGGCACGGGCACGGCAGACGCCAGCCACCCGAACGCUCUGCCACAGGCCCCCAGAGCAACCCGGCGCCCCCGCCCCGAGGACGCCGCUCGCCCCGAGACCCCGGGCUGCUGCCCCACGUGGCCACGUGGACGAUCACACGGACCGACGGCAGCAGGCGGAGAGGGCGGCUACCCCGCAGGAUCCUGUUCAUACAAAGCCACAGGCUGCACACCCUGGACGGUGCGGGCAGGGCUGCCUGGGGCCGGGGAGGGGGCCCGGGGCCUGGGGGGCACGGACAAGCUCGCGGCCCUGCUGGGGGCAGGGGCUUCCCCUUGCACCCCAACCUACCCCAGCAGAGCUGCAAAGUCAGCCACCAUCGUCCACCGUGCGCCUCAGCCGCGAGGACCGCGGAGCGAACACAGGGCGGAUGGUUACGCCCGGCGCGGCAGACGGAAGUACGAGGCUCAACCGCGACCUCCGCCGGGAAGAACGCAUCCAAACCGAAAUCCUGAACGCAUCCAAACCGAAAUCCUCAGCAGAGGCAGCAACGGCGGGCGCUGCCUGUCGAGACGCACGGGCGGCGCCGGCAUCUGCCACAGCGGUGACGGCGCCGCGUGGGUCACCCACUCCAAACGCCAGCUUCCUGCCAAUGCCCUCCCCGGGGGCCGCGGGGUCCCGCGCCAGGCCCCGGCCAGCCCCAGCUUUGCAGGCCUGGGUGGGGGACCAGCAGGCGGCAGCUCCGCCUGCCUCGGUUUCUCUGCCUCUCAAACAACACACAUUCUACACAUUAAAAAGACUCACCUGA